rnacentral:rRNA from 1 species
UGGGGAAUAUUGCGCAAUGGCCGAAAGGCUGACGCAGCGACGCCGCGUGGGGGAUGAAGCAUUUCGGUGUGUAAACCCCUGUUGCCCGGGACGAACAAGCAGAUUUUUCUGCUCUGACGGUACCGGGUGAGGAAGCACCGGCUAACUCCGUGCCAGCAGCCGCGGUAAUACGGAGGGUGCGAGCGUUGUCCGGAAUCACUGGGCGUAAAGGGCGCGUAGGCGGUCUGCUAAGCGUGCGGUGAAAGCCCGGGGCUCAACCCCGGGUCUGCCGUGCGAACUGGUGGACGAGAGCACUGUAGAGGCAGGUGGAAUUCCGGGUGUAGCGGUGGAAUGCGUAGAGAUCCGGAAGAACACCGGUGGCGAAGGCGGCCUGCUGGGCAGUAGCUGACGCUGAGGCGCGACAGCGUGGGGAGCAAACA